rnacentral:tmRNA from 1 species
GGGGGUGAUGGGCUUCGAUAGUAUUUUGAAAUUAAAUAUGCAAGCCGAGGAUUUCUCGUAACCUCGCAAAUUUUCCCCGCCAAAGGCGGUGAUAAAAAUCCACGAGAUAAGGCAAAUAACUGCCAAAACAAAUUUAAAUCCUGCUUUCUCCGUCAGUUGACGGAUUAAGCAGCAUCGGCUGUCUGAUGUCUAAUAUGACAAUACCGGUGUCAACCCAUUAGGCUUUAAUCCGUAGAAUUCUUCGCUCCGGGUGGAAACUAAAGAAGAGACAGAGAGUUUCUUAUUUUGAUUGCUUUAAGAGAGCUUUCUGAAAAAACAAAACAAUCUAAGCUUGUAGCAAUAUUUAAUUUUUUGAAUUCUAGAUGCGAGUUCAACUCUCGCCAUCUCCACUC